rnacentral:siRNA from 1 species
UAAUGCAAUAUAUUUAUACGC